GGCCUUUAUCUCAUUGGAGUUAGUCUCAAUGGUUAGCACUUGUUUUGCCUUGUAGAGUACAGACUGACUCCUGAGGAAUUCCAGACCUGUAGCCUAGAUUCCCCGUAGUUUACUGCUGCCUCCUGUCCACCUGCAUAUCCAGAUAUUAUCUCCCUGAUUACAGCCUCCCCGAAGCUGAGGUUCUUCCAUUGUGAAGAGUCCUGAGCCAGAACUAGCAGUGCCCACUGGGGAUUAGGGGACAGAUGCCGAGGGGUCACACCUGAAGCCCAUGGCAAACCUCCAUAAGGAAUACCUGGGAUCAAUUCUGGCAAAUGGAAGGACUGUUUUGACUUUUUAUUAAAAAAAAAAAAAAAAGCCACUUUCCCAGGGACACAAAUGAUGAACCCGUGGUGAAAUCCAAUUACAACUUCCUUUUAUAUUAUUACAUAAGGGACAAAUGUGAAGGGACAUAUUUCUCCCCAACCUAAACUCGUCACAAAGAGCAAGCAAGUGGGAUUUCUAAAUAAAGGGGGUUUAAGCAAGAGAUUUGCAGAAAUCACACAUUUGCUAUAGAUGUGGAAAGAAUGUAGCAACCUAAGGCAGUCUCAGCUUGAGAGAAGCCAUGAUCCAUUUGUUUAAUUUCUUGAGAGAAUGAAAAUCUGGUCAGUGGAAAUGCCAGUGAUUUUAGCCCCAUAUGGAGGUUUUUACCAAGGAUUCCUUAAAUCUAUAUUAUAAGCAUUUUGACUGAGCUGGUCUUGUUUGAAUUAUCAGUUAUUAUGUACUUACUACUUUUUGGACACUGGGCCAGCUGAAUUACAGACAUUAUUUUUUAACCUUCACGGCAAGCUCUUAAAGUGGUACUGGUUUUAUUUGUUUGUUUGUUUGAAACAAGGUCUUGCUUGGUUGCCCUCACUCCGGCUGGAGUGCAGUGGUGUGAUCAUAGCUCUCUGAAACCUUGAACUCCUGAGCUUAAGCAAUCCUCCUGCCUCAGCCUCCCAAGUAGCUAGGACUACAGGUGGGCACCACAACACUGGCUAUUUUUUUUUUUUUAAUUUUUUUGUAGAGAUGGAGUCUUGUUAUAUCGCGUAAGCUGGUCUUGAACUUUAGGCCUCAAGUGAUCCUUCUGCCUUGGCCUCCCAAAGCACUGGGAUUACGGGCAUGAGCCACCUCAAGGCGCCCAGCUUCAGGUGGUACUUUUAUCCUAUUUUACAGAUGAGCAAUCUGAGAGUCCAGAUGUUAAGUGAUUUAUUUACGCCCAUGCAGCUGGGAGGAGGCAGAGAUAGGAUUCGGGCCUGCAGUGCCUUCUAUAGAUACCACAACCUUGCUGCUGGCGGUGACAAUAAAAAGGGCAGAGGAUACUCUGACAUCCCCUAGCUAUGACACCUGACACUAGGCUUCUGCCCUGCACAUCUAACAGGAGGUGCUCUUUUUUUUUUCUUUUCUUUUAAGCUUUCUCCUUGAAUUUCUCAGUGUAUGGGCUGAGACCUAGAGAAUGACUUUUCAUGGCUUAUAAGCAACAACAUGACACAUGAAAUUCUGUAAACACACAGGCAAAUGCGGUUUUCAUUUUAGCUUUGACCUGUAACUACAUCUCCAGAGAUCUUAUAAAGCACAAGUUAAACUUGCACUCCCCACACAAGAACUUGAUGUUAUGGUUGUUAACUAUUAUUCACUCCCAAGUGUCCCCCAAGACAGAGAGAUUCCAUUUUACUGCCAUAGAAAUGAAAACAGAAGCAAAUAAAAUGUCAAAAGAAAUGUGCCAAGUUCAAAAUUGUACCUCAGUGAUUUGAUCACAUAAUACGGGAAUAUGAUUAAGUUGAAUUUUUGAACUUGGAAUUGAUUUUGUGCUGAAAGGUACACUUUCCAACUCUAAUGCCUAUGGUAAAAUUUAAAUAAUAUUGCUCAAUCUCUAAAAAUUAUGUUUAUAUAUUAUUUGUUUAUGUUUCUAUACAUAUAACAUAUUAUCCUAGACUAAGCUUGUUAGGUAGGUACUACAUCUAAUUUAUUUUUUAUCCUGAGUCCUAGCCUAGUGUUUCGCUGAACUUUAUCACUGCACUCCUUGAAUGAUUUCAUUUGAAAGAAGUUAAGUCUUAAUGUGUUUGAAUGUGUCAUUUGAAAUUCAUUUCAUUUGAAAAUGACUGUGCCCUAAUUUACUGGUAUGCUUUGACCAAUAUUUAUUCUGAAUUCAGUUAUGAAUGGGGAGCAACUUCAGAAGUUGAAAAGGGAAAUAUUUCUUCUUCAGUGGCUUUUUUUUUUUUAAGUGGGAGGCUAAGUUAAAUAAUCAAGACUCUGCUUUAGAGGUUUUAGAAGUGAAAAUAAUUUUCUUUGACAGCCACAUUAAUGUAUAAGGCAGUGGUGAUGUAAAAAACAAUAAACAAUCUUGGGCUUGUUGGCAGAGUGAUUGCAUAAGUUGAGGCAGAGAGGAAAAUGAUUAUAGCCAGGGCAAACUGUUCAAAAGAAUUAUAUCUUCCAUUUUUGUAGAGUUUAGGAAAUGUUCAAAAUAGAGAAAAUUAGUUAUGUGGUUUUUACAAGUCUUUAGAUUUUUAUUGAGUAAAUCAUACCCUCAUCUUUUCAUGUCAGGUUGGUUUCUGUCCUGGUCUUUGCAGGGUUUUCUACCUGAGUUUUUUCCCGUAAGACAGACCUGUCAUUUUCUGCAACUCGCUGAUCCCUUGAUCUGUAACAUCUUUCACUUUGGAUAACAUUAUAAAAUCCUGUGAGUGACUGAGAGAAUUUUGGGUUGCCUACAUUUUAUGUAUUGUGCUUUUGAGAUGAGGGUUAAACAAGGACCCUAAGGGGUAUGAGUGAGAUUGACUUCUGGGCUCCAGAGAUCAAUGGUUCUUGAAAGCAGGGGAGAAUUUUGAAAGUGGUAGGAGACAGGAAGAUGAUAAAAUAAUACCCUGAUGAGAGGAAUCUUGGAAAUGAGCCUAGGGGAGAGAAAACAGAGAUGUUUGAAAGAGAAUUCAAAAAUAAAAAUCACUACUAAUGCUUUAAGUUGGAAUUGUUACUUGGGGGUCUAAUCAGGUACCUGAGGCUGAUCCUGAUGCAUGUGGAUGAGAACAGAGUGUCUGAGGAGGUCACUGGCCAUGUUUUGAUUUUGUAUCACUCCAUGUCAUUCUCCUUUUUAGAUGAUUCAGAACUCUGGGUAGAAAUAAUCUCCAGAGCUCAGAAAAAAUAGUUAUUUCCAUCCUAACCUCACCUCUAGGGGCUCUCUCUGAGUUUGAUAGCUUCACUUCUGCACUGACAAUUUCAUAUAAAAUGAAAAAAUACAUUGAUGAUAAUUCUAAUGUGUGAUAAAGACUUCUCUCUGGAUCUGUUUACCUGUCAGAAAUAGGAUUAUGUCAUUCUAGUUCUUAGCUCAUAUCAGAAAUAUAGAUAGAUACAAAGAUUAAUGCUUCACUUUCACACAGUAACUGCUGGCAGAACUGGAGGUAGAACUCCACCAUCUGGUCCACAUGUAUGUAGCUCUCACUCACUUCUUUGAAAGAUUGCUUGGAAGAAACUAGAGACAGACCAAAGAAGCAAGAGGAAGAAAAAAUCUUCAUUUUUCUGAUCUAAAAAUAACAAUUCUACUUCUUUUAACAGGUAGUUAAAAGAGGACCAUCCUAAAUUAAGAAUAACAAUCCUACCUCUUUUAACACAGUGUCAUCAUUGCCAUAUAACAGUGGUCAGGCCUAAUCAGUUACAAACCCAUCUGCAUAGGUUUCUUAUUAAUCAGAUUCACAGUCUGGUAUUUGCAUGUCAAAGUUUCAGACUAUUCUGGAAUGUGUCUCAGUAGGUGAAAAAGAAUUCACUUUUAAAUAUUCUUAACAUCUUUAAAUGCAACUUACUAGCUAGCGUGACUUGGAAGAAAAUUAAGAAAAAAAUGAGUGAAAUCUUUUCACUUUGGAAAAGAAGGCAAUGAGAAUAGGUGAGAAUACCUUUUCUGACAAAAGUUGUACUGAAUCAAGUCAUGUGUGAUGUUAGCCAGCAAAGCUGGACAUUUGCCACAAUUGGCUGUUGUGUCUGGCUGAUGAAAAUGACAAUUAGAAAACAACAAAAUAACUGCGGAUAGGCAAGUGCCUAUUUCAACUGUGAAUCAUGUAUUGCUUUGUUAUGUAAUUAGUUGCUUAUGAGGGUGUCCUGGUUUUAGAGAAACAGCGCUGAGGUUCAGUCUCGCUCUACUACUUGGUAACUGCUUGACUUUGGGAAAGUCUUUAUCUCAUGUCUUCAUAUGAGUCCUCAUUUAUCCUCAUAUGUAAAGUGGGGGUAACAUAAUAAGGUUGAACCUUAUUAUAUAUGCUAUAUAAUAGCAUAUAAAAUUGCUAUUUCUGAAAGUCAGAAAUUAUCAUAUAUUGGAAAGCUUUAAAAAAAUCUUUAUUCUUUCAAUUUAAAAUAAUGAAUCAAGUGCCUGCUAUGUGUUAGAUAUUAUAUUACAUCUUAGGAAUUCAAAGUGGUACCAUUCACAUCCUCAAAAAUUCCCAACUCUUAGAAAUUAUCAUAUAUUGGCAAGUUCAUAUGAUUCAACCUAAUAGCUUCUACCUCACAGGAUUAUUGUGAGAAUUAAAUGAGAAAUGCAUGAAAUGUUUGGCACACAGGCUCAUAGUAAGUGCUCAAUAAAUGGUGGAUAUUAUUAUUCUUAAAUGAAUCAUGUAAUUAUUUUCUAUAUAAUAAUCAAACUCAAUCCCACUUAUUUGCAACUUCUGUAUCAAGUUUUAAGUCCAAUCUAUUUACUGGAAUACAAUGAUUUAGCACACAUUGAUUUUUCCCAUAAACAUUCAUAUGCAAUGAUUGCUCACUAAAAUGCAAAAAGGGUGAGGAUACAAUAUGUGUUUUUAUUGUUUUUGGAUUUGGCUUCUUUCACUUAGCAUGUUUUCGAAGUUCAUCUCUGUUAUAGCAUGUAUCAGUACUUCAUUCCUUUUUAUUGACGAAUAAGAUUCUAUUGUGUGGAUAUAUUACAUUUUGUUUAUCCAUUCAUCGGUUGAUGGACACUUGAGGUGUUUCGCUUUGGGGCUUUUAUGAGUAAUGCUGCUAUGAACAUUUGUGUAUAAAAGGACACAUCGUAUUAACCUAUUUAUAUGAAAUGUCCAGAGUAGGCAAAUCCGUAGAGACAGGAAGUAGAUUAGUGGUUGUUAGGGGCUGGGAGGAAGGGAAAAGGCGGUGACUACUAAUAGGUACAAGAUUUCCUUUUGGGGUGAUGAAGUGUUCUAAAACUAGAUAGUGGUGAUGGUUGUAGAGUUGUACUGAUGCUGAAAAAUCAAUAAGAUUAACCCAGAAAUUGGCUCAAUAAGAAACCAGGGACUCCCAAAGGGGGUUUUACAAUUCAGAAACAGGAAAAAAUUAGAAAGUGGUUUAUUUGCAAUUUACAUGGAUUCCUCUACUUUGUGAGGUUUAGU
rnacentral:lncRNA from 1 species